GGGAGUGUAGCUCAGUGGUAAAGCUCUUGCCUAGCAUGCAGGAGGCCCUGAGUUCAAUCCCCAGUACCAUCA
rfam:Ictidomys tridecemlineatus contig089362, whole genome shotgun sequence.